rnacentral:rRNA from 1 species
AUUGAACGCUGGCGGCAGGCCUAACACAUGCAAGUCGAGCGGAUGAAGGGAGCUUGCUCCUGGAUUCAGCGGCGGACGGGUGAGUAAUGCCUAGGAAUCUGCCUGGUAGUGGGGGAUAACGUCCGGAAACGGGCGCUAAUACCGCAUACGUCCUGAGGGAGAAAGUGGGGGAUCUUCGGACCUCACGCUAUCAGAUGAGCCUAGGUCGGAUUAGCUAGUUGGUGGGGUAAAGGCCUACCAAGGCGACGAUCCGUAACUGGUCUGAGAGGAUGAUCAGUCACCCUGGAACUGAACCCCGUCCCAGCCUCCUGCGGGAGGCAGCAGUGGGGAAUUUUGGACAAGGGGGGAAGGCUUGACCCAGCCAGCCGGCGUGUGUGAAAAAGGUUUUCGGUUUCUAAGGCACUUUAAGUGGGGAGAAAGGGCAGUAGUUUAAUCCCUUGCUGUUUUGCCUUCCCCAAAAGAAAAACCCCCGGCUACCUUCGUC